rnacentral:snRNA from 1 species
AUACUCUGUUUUCUCUUCAGAUUGUAUAAAUCUUUCGCCUUUUACUAAAGAUUUCCGUGGAGAGGAACAACUCUGAGUCUUAAAUCCCUCCUGUCUUAGCUCAUGUAAUAAAGGUGUUUAUUG